rfam:Pantoea ananatis LMG 20103, complete genome.
GACCGACAUCAGGGAUUCAUUAUGCGAUCCCGCGCCCACCGCGAGGUAGGCGUUCAUGCCCAGCUCUUUCAUCUGCUGCUCGCCAAUCACGCGGGUCGUGAUGUUUUUGCUGUAGGCAUCCGCCAGCUGGCGCGCCUGAGAUGCCAGGUACGCAGGAUUACAAAUGUUAGGCGGCAUGUUGCCCAGAUCUUUUGC